rnacentral:rRNA from 1 species
UACGUAGGGUGCAAGCGUUGUCCUGAAUUAUUGGGCGUAAAGAGCUCGUAGGCGGCUAGUCGCGUCGGCUGUGAAAACCUGGGGCUCAACCCCGGGCCUGCAGACGAUACGGGCUAGCUAGAAUUCGGUAGGGGAGACUGGAAUUCCUGGUGUAGCGGUGAAAUGCGCAGAUAUCAGGAGGAACACCGGUGGCGAAGGCGGGUCUCUGGGCCGAUACUGACGCUGAGGAGCGAAAGCGUGGGGAGCGAACAGG